UACGUAGGUGGCAAGCGUUGUCCGGAUUUAUUGGGUUUAAAGGGUGCGUAGGCGGUCCAUUAAGUCAGCAGUGAAAUACGGCAGCUUAACUGUCGAGGUGCUGUUGAUACUGGUGGACUUGAGUACUGAUGAGGUAGGCGGAAUGGACGGUGUAGCGGUGAAAUGCUUAGAGAUCGUCCAGAACACCGAUAGCGAAGGCAGCUUACUAAAGAGUAACUGACGCUGAGGCACGAAAGCGUGGGGAGCAAACAGG
rnacentral:rRNA from 1 species